GCGGAAGUGGCGAAAUUGGCAGACGCACCAUCUUGAGGGGGUGGCGCUCGUACGAGCGUAGGGGUUCAAGUCCCCUCUUCCGCA
rnacentral:tRNA from 7 species